rnacentral:antisense_RNA from 3 species
CUUCAGCGAGCCCAGCCACAGGGGCUGUCCGCCGGACCGGUCCCGGCCGUAGGUGGCCAGCAGCGCCUGGGCCUC